rnacentral:rRNA from 1 species
ACGACUCUCGGCAACGGAUAUCUCGGCUCUCGCAUCGAUGAAGAACGUAGCGAAAUGCGAUACUUGGUGUGAAUUGCAGAAUCCCGUGAACCAUCGAGUCUUUGAACGCAAGUUGCGCCCGAGGCCUUUGGGCCAAGGGCAUGCCUGCCUGGGCGUCA